AGGCAAAUGGGGAUAACUCUCCAAAAGUUCUGCCUUGUGCAGGGCAAAGCUUUGCUGUCCUCAUGCACUCUUAGGAUUUCUCCUAACUUCAGUUUCUGCAAUCACCUCAGCUAAUUGUUGCUUUUUAUUUUGACAGGAGACAGACUCACGUCCUUUCCCACCAGAGAAAUGAGCCCUCGCUGUUGCUAGCAGUGCUGAACUAAGGUGUCAUGCAGUGGAAGAGUUGGGGAUCUCCCAAUAACUCAGUCUCUGAUAAAAGAGACUAACAGCCUGCAGUCAGAACAUCCUCCAGCUCACCUGUUACUCUGCUUUGGAAACAGAUGGCCAGAACAAAGUAAGGGUUUCCGGAUUUGGCCUUACAAACCAUCGAAUUAACAACCAGUUGGGGCUUUGUUACACAAUUGAAUGUAACUUAGUCAUACUCAAACACCCAGAUGAAAGGGAAUUCAAAAUUGGGAAGGGAAAAAAAAGAAAAGCAAGAUGCAACAAUAGCCUUGGGGUAUUACCUUCAAAGCAGGUGUUCAACAAGAUGUCCCAGUUUAAGGCUGAACAAUUAGAAAAAUGACCGAAUGGUAUUUUACAGACUUCUUUUUUGAUUCGGAACCAGUUUUCUGAUCUGUGAAAGACACUGUGAGGGAAACACUCUACUUGGCCCCAGCUGUAGUGAAAAAAAAUUCAUUUUUACAGUGCCUCUGAAACAAAUAUAAAGAGAACGAUAUUGUCUCAUAUCUUACAGUCACUGAUGGGGAAAGUGAAGACUGAAGGUGGUAC
rnacentral:lncRNA from 1 species